rnacentral:lncRNA from 10 species
UAAGAACAAAGCUAGUGAAGCAGAUUGUUCCCGAGUGCAGGUAGAGAGGGGAACCUGACUGGACAGGGAGGGAUGCCAGGGAUACUCGUACGUUCAGAGUUUUUGACCCAUCACAGGUAUCAAGAUGUGGUGAGAAUUCUCAAUUGAAUCGCUUCAGGAUUUAGCUGUGUCUGGGUGACUGGAAUCCUGGAGCAGGGUAGGACUGCUCAGGACUUAUUUGUAUGAGGAACCAAGGAAAACCUUGGAAAAGAAGGCAGACAGAAAGAAAGGGUCCUUGAGCAGGAUACAUUUCAUUGAGGUCAUGGCGGGUAUCUUACCUCCAUCCAUCUAGAGGUAUUUCAGAGGGAUGGAGGUAUCUGAAGAGGGUAUUUUAGAGGGUAUUUUAGAGGGGUGGAGGUAUCUGAAGAGUGUAAAUAUCCACCUCUGCAUUGUCCCUGAGCCUGGGUCACAUGGACUCACAUCAGAAACGUGGGGAGAGCAGCCUAUCAUAGAACAACAGAUGGAAAUAAAAGAGCUGAGGCAUUGCAAAAGGAGGGAAUGAUCAGGGCUGGUGCCAG